rnacentral:rRNA from 1 species
AUUGAACGCUGGCGGCAUGCCUUACACAUGCAAGUCGAACGGCAGCACGGGUGCUUGCACCUGGUGGCGAGUGGCGAACGGGUGAGUAAUACAUCGGAACAUGUCCUGUAGUGGGGGAUAGCCCGGCGUAAGCCGGAUUAAUACCGCAUACGAUCUACGGAUGAAAGCGGGGGACCUUCGGGCCUCGCGCUAUAGGGUUGGCCGAUGGCUGAUUAGCUAGUUGGUGGGGUAAAGGCCUACCAAGGCGACGAUCAGUAGCUGGUCUGAGAGGAGGACCAGCCACACUGGGACUGAGACACGGCCCAGACUCCUACGGGAGGCAGCAGUGGGGAAUUUUGGACAAUGGGCGAAAGCCUGAUCCAGCAAUGCCGCGUGUGUGAAGAAGGCCUUCGGGUUGUAAAGCACUUUUGUCCGGAAAGAAAUCCUUGGCCCUAAUACGGUCGGGGGAUGACGGUACCGGAAGAAUAAGCACCGGCUAACUACGUG